UACGCGCAAAUAAACUCCAGGCAAAACAAUGUCGCCACUACGUACAACCGUCAACCGAAGUUGAAUUUAAACUUUCCGGCACUCCCCCGAGCAGUAUAAAUAACCGAACACGAUCGUUAAGAAAAUCAGUCUUUGAAGAAGUCAGUAAUGAAUCAGUUGGUCAAUCAGUCUCGAGCAUUCUUAUAUCAGCAAUCAGUACGCAGUCUUUAGAGCGCAUCAAUCAGUAAUCAGUCUGUGGCGGCACUCGACCACGGAACUUUCCAACGGUUUCGCGACAUAAAGCGCUAUACCUUCAAGGCGUAAGGCCGACUUGCCUAAUGUACCAUCGAUAUCCCUACGGUUCUUUCGCCGAAUAUUCGGAAGAAUGCAUACGCGGUAACUGUCGCGGACAUCUAAUAAACGCGUGCGUAGUGGAGAUAUCAAGAGGCAACAAAGAAACGAAUCCGUUUGGUUUCGAACAAAAGAUUCAUUCUGCCCGAGCUGCGAAGUGCGAAUGGUUUAGCGUCAUAGCGAAGCAAACAUAAGCCGAGAUACGUGAUUAUUAACUCUUGGGAGUUAAUCGUUAAUCGUUAAUUAUUGUUGAUGUUUUCUCAAGUACUGAAGACAAAAGACUGGAACGAAGGCAGACCAUAAACAGUAGACAGGCGACGUUGAUGUAACCCCAAAUUCCUUUACCCUGACGUCACCUUAGGCGACCACCUCUAGAUAUUCUCCGGACAGUUAACACCUCGCCACCCUCAUAAGGAACUUCCAAGAAUAAUGUCCCCUCCAACAUUUUCAUUGUUCUCGCUCAAUAUUUAGACUCCGAAUAAUGACGGCCGAGCCAGUCUGAAUUAUAAGCCGAUACUGGAGCAUUGUAAUAUUGGUACUCAAGGGCCUUCGACUCUUGAGAAAUAAAGUUUUUAUAUAUAUCA